rnacentral:tRNA from 1 species
GUCCUCGUGGCUCAGUUGGCUAGAGCAUUGGCUGUACUGAAGCCUUCCCCCUGCUGGCGUGGGUUUGAAUUCCACCGAGGUUG